AACUUUCGGCAAUGGAUCUCUUGGCUCUCGCAUCGAUGAAGAACGCAGCGAAAUGCGAUAAGUAAUGUGAAUUGCAGAAUUCAGUCAAUCAUCGAAUCUUUGAACGCACCUUGCACCCUUUGGCAUUCCGAAGGGUAUGCUCGUUUGAGUGUCAUUGUACUCUCACACUCCCGAUGCUUUUGGAUUGGGAGUGGUGGACUUGGGUGUUGCUGCUUUACUGUGGCUCACCUCAAAUGGAGUAGUGCAACUCUUGGUUGGACAUAGUACGGCGUGAUAAGUGUCUUCGCCGGCGCCUCAUUAGAGGGUGGCCGAUCGGGAGCUCUGUGCUUCAAACCGUCUUCGGACAACAUCUGACAACUUGACCUCAAAUCGAGUAGGACUACCCGCUGAACUUAAGCAUAUCAAUAAGCGGAGGCU
rnacentral:misc_RNA from 1 species